GCAGAGAUCGUGGUGUAGUGGAUAACGUCACGGUCUUCAACGCCGACGGCCGGGGUUCGAACCCCGUAUGUGCU
rnacentral:tRNA from 1 species